CCAAAGGCUCUUUUCAGAGCCACCCAUAUGCGCUCUGGGAAGGGCU
rfam:Cavia porcellus supercont2_108 genomic scaffold, whole genome shotgun sequence.